ensembl:lncRNA
GGAAAUUUCAAAAUCCCACGAAAAGGACGGGACGGGAAAGGCUUCAUUUUCCAGGGAGAUUUAGUUAUUUGUUUCUGAUUAGGUGAAGUACGCGUUCUUUUAUCCUUUGUUAUUUUUACCCAUGUGAUGACUGGAGAGCUUUCUUUGUUACAAUGUUUCAGAGCAAAUAAAACUAAUUUACUAGAAUAUGAAAUAAGCCAGAAAGGAACUGUACCUGAUGGUCACAGACGUGGAGAUCCCUUAACUGGCCAGAGUUUCCAGGCCCCGUGCGUGUCUGGGAAACAGAAAGAGCUCCUGCUCUGAAGGAUUUGCGCAACACAGGUUGUUCUAAUCACUGAGAGGGAAAUGGAGGCCUCUCUGAGCAAAUCCAGUGGGUAAGCCACCACGCAAACACUGAUGACACCCAGAAUUGUCCUACGUCUCCUGGGAAACCACCACAGCAUCUCUGUUCUAAAUUGUCCACUGAUCCCACUGGUUGUUUACCUUGGAAGAACCACAUCAAAGAAAAAAAGGGGAUCCUCCCAGAAGAAGAUGUCCUAACUUCAGUGCAACAAAAACCUGAGCGAUAACAUCAGAUUUUGCCAGAAUGGAGUUACAUCCUGGCUCUCAUACAGAAACCCAGGCCUCCGACAGUGAGCACACUAUUAUGCCACAUUCUUUCAACAACUCCAGAAUGGAGGAAAACAAUGACAUGGGUAAUUUAAAAUAACAGAGGAUUUCAAAAAAAAAAAAAAAUCUUUUGUGUCUGAAGCUUUGAAUUAAUUAUAUGAUUAUUAU